GCGAAGUGUUCCUCAGAUCUCUCAGAUCUAGGGUUAAAGCUUGACAUAUCUUCUCGGAUCUGAAGAGAUGCGCAGAAGAAGAGAUGCAGCGGAACUCUUCACUGAAAUGAUUAGCCGAGAUGUUGCCGGGUGGAAAGAAGCUUACAAUUGUUUAAUUCAGUGAGCAGUUUAGGACAGUGGAAAGAAGCUACAAGGUUGUUAGAUGAAAUACAAAGUAGAAAGGUUCUUCCGAGACGUUAAUCACUUUCAAUGUCUUGGUUGGUGCACUUUGUAAAAAGAGGAUGGUCGUGGAAGCUAAAAGGUGUUGCAAGGAGACAAGGACAAAGGGUAAAAAUCCUGUGAUCUAAUGGUUAAUAAAGGCUCCACGUUUGAUGUUCAGAAUUGUAAGUAUAUUGAGAGAUGAUAUUGCAUGGGUAGAGACGUUGAUAAUGCUCAGAAGAUAUUCAAGGAAAUGCAUUGUGUGGAAAUAGUUGCAAAUAUGUUUAUUCUUAAUAAUCUUGUUAGCCUUAUCCUUGCUUUUUGCAAUGCCGGGGGACUUCAAGAAGCAGAAAAGUUUUUCUCUGAAAUGCUAGGCUGUGGUCAAGCAGAAAUCUGCAUACUGUUGUGAUCAAAAGUCAGUACAUAGCCGGUAGAUGUCUUUUCCUUAUCAACAAGAGGAGUUCAGUCUAGUGUGAGUACAUACGAAAGCUCCUUGGACUUUGUAAUUGUAACUUUAUGUAUUGAAGCAGAAAUGUUUUGUUACUGUCAAUUCAUAAUAAAGUUGAUUUGAACAU